CUUGAUAAAGCCGGAAGCUCAGAACGCCGGAGGUUCCAUUGUCGACUAAGUUCAGGUAUUGGUCAAAACUCUCUAGUUAAAUAACUAUUAUUGCGAAGCAUGGUGGGCUUUUAAACUGUUAAAAUAAUUUAUUUUGAUGUAUAAGUAGUAGAGUUGUGAUAACUAGUACCGUUAAAAGUCAUUUAAAGUAAUUAUCAGAUCGGAUUAUAGUAAAAAUCAGUGUAUUAUUAAAAGCUGUUAUUUUAAAUUAAGGUACUGUUAUUAAUUUAUCAAAUACUGUUAUUAAGUCAUUAAGUACUGUUAUUUAUCUCAAAUAAAAGGUAUCCAAAAAAAAAAAAUUGACGUCACUUGGUAUUGGGCGGGGUAGCCUAUACCGGGUAGCGGUCCAUCAUCCCCCCUCGUACAAAUCACUCUAAAACAAACUUCCUUUUGUUCUGAAUAUCCUCACCCAUAUAUAAUAUAAAAAAAACAUUUACUAGUAUAUAAUAAAUAACAAAGUAACAAAACCCAACCUAAAUACUCCGUAAUAUUCGCUACCCAAGGUUUUAUUAUUAUCAUUUUCAUUGUCACCGCUUUCACUACAAUUCACCGUCUCAACAGUAUCAAUGGCGGAAGCAGUCUGCCCUGCGCAUUGUGCGGCAUGGGCCCGCGACUACAUUGGCUAUUGCUUAUGCACUACCAGUGACGCCGUCUCUCUAUCCCUUGGUUUGGCUAGUGUUAUUAGUUGGGGUGUUGCCGAAAUCCCUCAAAUCAUCACUAAUUUUAAGACUAAAUCCACCGAAGGCCUUUCCUUUGCUUUCUUGCUUACUUGGAUUAUUGGGGACUUUUUCAACAUGUUCGGCUGCUUGCUAGAACCAGCUACUCUUCCUACACAAUUUUAUAUGGCCUUGCUGUACACCGUGACUACCUUGACUCUUACAUUGCAGUCUGUAUAUUAUGGUCACAUCUAUCAUCGAUUAAAAAGUAAAAGACAAUGCAACAAGGAUAUGAUGCCUCAUCAGGUAGAAGUGGAAGGAGAGUAUAAUGUACAUCGAAACGGUGGUGUUGAGAAACAAAAUGGAAAUUAUGGCCACACACCAAUAUCCAGUGCAAAUCAGAGUGGUGCUACAAUGAGUUCACCGAUUCCACUUCCUGGCAUUCCACGUAGUCAUUCUGCAGGACAAGAUUCCUUUUACACGUCAGCAAGAUCUUUGUCGACAAGCCAUACUCCAACAAGGAGGUCUUUUGCUGCACCAUGGAGACCCUCUACCACAGUGGAUGUUGAGGAUCCUAUUGAAGAGCCUUUGCUUGGUGGAUCCUUGCCAACUAGGCCGAUGCAUCCGUCAAAACCAAAAAACCUUUUGUGUAUUGUGCCUGCUUUAAUUUUCAUCGCUGGAACCCUGAAUUUUACCCGUAGAGACACAAGGCUGAGUUUGGCUGCUGAACUACCAAACAGAAAGCUUUUGCAGGUCAAUGGUCAGCAGAAGAUUACAUCAGGUGUUGGUGAGGGAAUAGGCACAUACAUGGGUUGGGCUAUGGCAGUUAUUUACAUGGGUGGACGGCUUCCGCAAAUUUGCCUAAAUUUUAAAAGGGGCCAUGUUGAGGGGCUCAAUCCACUGAUGUUCAUGUUUGCAUUGUUGGGAAAUACAACUUAUGUGGCCAGCAUACUAGUUAAUAGCUUGGAGUGGUCGAAGAUUUUCCCAAACCUUCCAUGGCUGGUUGAUGCAGGAGGCUGUGCACUUCUUGACACAUUUAUACUACUUCAGUUCGUAUAUUUUCUUCGUCAGCGAUCAUAUCAUCGUGGGACCAAGCAAAGCACAGAGACACACAUUCUACAUUGAAGCCAUGGGACUGCAGUAUAUAGUAUGUACCAUAUCCUCUUAACGACAUCUAUCGUACCACAUGCUCAGAGCAAUUGGUCCUGUCCAACCAAGCCAUUUCAUUCACAUCUUAGUUUCGAAAAGGAAGUGCUCCUGGUGGCAUAAAUGUUAAACUUCCAAGACCUAUACAGAGAUCACUACAAAUUUGAUAACUGAUGUUCGAUAGAUAAGGGAAUUUCAAGCAUCUGAAAUCACGACAUUGAAUCUCAUUGAUUUUAAACUGACAGCGCUGUGGAUGCUGCUUGGCUUCAGCGUAACCUCAUCACAAAUUGCUUACCAUGACAUAUUUGUAACUACGAUUUUUCAGUUUUUGUGGUCUGUCCUGGACAAAACUACAAUUUUGUUUAUUCUCUCAUCUUGUUUAUAUUCCUUUGACAACUAAAAACAGCAAUUAAAAUUUCGAAAUUCUCAUUUUAAAACAUUGUAAACAGAUCCGUAAUACGAAGUAGCUUCUAUCUUUGAUCCUUUUGCAACA